rnacentral:rRNA from 1 species
UCCUACGGGACGCAGCAGUAGGGAAUCUUCCACAAUGGGCGAAAGCCUGACCCAGCAACGCCGCGUGAAGGAAGAAGGCUUUCGGGUUGUAAACUUCUUUUCUGAGGGACGAAGAAAGUGACGGUACCUCAGGAAUAAGCCACGGCUAACUACGUGCCAGCAGCCGCGGUAAUACGUAGGUGGCAAGCGUUAUCCGGAUUUAUUGGGUGUAAAGGGCGUGUAGGCGGGAAUGCAAGUCAGAUGUGAAAACUAUGGGCUCAACCCAUAGCCUGCAUUUGAAACUGUAUUUCUUGAGUGCUGGAGAG